UACGAAGGGGGCUAGCGUUGCUCGGAAUCACUGGGCGUAAAGGGCGCGUAGGUGGUCUUGUAUGUCUACCGUGAAAGCGUACGGCUCAACCGUAUUUUGUCGGUAGAAACUGCAGGACUUGAGGCUGGGAGGGGCUGGCGGAAUUCCCUGUGUAGCGGUGAAAUGCGUAGAGAUGGGGGAGAACACUCGUGGCGAAGGCGGCCAGCUAGACCAGUUCUGACACUGAGGCGCGAUAGCGUGGGGAGCAAACAGG
rnacentral:rRNA from 1 species